rnacentral:rRNA from 1 species
UACGAAGGUCCCAAGCGUUGUUCGGAAUCACUGGGCGUAAAGGGAGCGUAGGCGGCAUGGUAAGUCAGAUGUGAAAUCCCGGGGCUCAACCCCGGAACUGCAUCCGAUACUGCCAUGCUUGAGGAUUGGAGAGGUAGCUGGAAUUCUCGGUGUAGCAGUGAAAUGCGUGGAGAUCGAGAGGAACACUCGUGGCGAAAGCGAGCUACUAGACAAUAUCUGACGCUGAGGCUCGAAGGCCAGGGUAGCGAAAGGG